rnacentral:tRNA from 1 species
GGGCGGUUAGCUCAGCGGUAGAGCACUUCCUUGACAUGGAAGGGGUCACAAGUUCGAUCCUUGUACCGCCCA